CUAUUAGGUGUUAUCACCAAACAUUAUUGUUUGUCAAUUUUGAUUCUGAAACAAUCAGUUUCUUGUAUUUUUAUUAAUCAUGUUAAUUAGCUAAUAACUAACUUAAAACCUUUAUUAUGUCAAGGUUAUUAAGUUCAUGUGGUCUGUAUUCCAUGAUAUUUAAUAUAGAUUAACAUAGAUUAAACAGUUUUCAACAAGUGCCCCGGUUGAAGAAUCACCAAUACAUCUCAGAGAAGACUUCAUUUAAAUGCAAUGAAUGUGAAAAAAAAACAAGCCAAAAAACACAAAAACAGUACGUUUUGUUAAUAAUGUAAUCAAAGCUGUGUCUGUUGAAUCUGACUUGCCUGUAGCAACUGAAAUUGGUUAAUACUAAACGAAAACCAAUACAACUUUAUUUUGCGAUCAAGUUAUUCUGUGUGCGAAAAUGUAGUCAUCUCCAGAUUAUGUAAAACUCAAAUCACGUCAAGCCUAAAAAUAGAGCGUUCAGAUUUCCCUCAAAGUGAGACGUCACAGCGGUUCUGAAUACUGAGGGUGAAAAAAAGAGGAAGCAUCUGAAAAAGUUGCUUGGAUCGACGUGGAAAAGUAUGUUGGAAUCGAUGCCUCCAUGGCAUGAGAGACUACGAAAUGAGAAGCUGAAGACUGAGAGAUCACGCCUUGAGUCCGCCUUUGAUGCAGUCUCCAUGGCGACUACAGUUUCCUGGGUAACCCCCAUUAAUGUUACCAUGACAUUCUCCCCCGUUGUCAGAGCAACGCUCCAGAUGGUUCACAAAGCCUGACUGGCAAAAUAGAGCGCGAGAAUUGCGAUCAGAUAAGGAUCUCAAUCCUUUAUUGGAUGUAUCUCUAACAUUUUGCAGCCUAAUAGUAUUUAAUAUAUUAUGUAAAACAGCUUCUGCAAAUAAUUAGCAUAGCCCUGGGUUUGCAAACCAUCCAGAGCGGAUACACUCUCACAUAUUUGCAUUUUUUUAUCUUUUACAAAUGUCUGAAUGUGCUCAUGUGGAAAAUUGCAUUGAUAUUGAUUGACAAGAUGGACUGACAGACAGAUGGAAAACAUGCUGUGCAUGCAAAAUGCCAGCGUUACUUCAGUGCGCGAAGUAGGUUGUGGUGGAUUGUUAUUGUCGCCUGUUUCUCGGGUGUUUUCUCUUUGUAGCUGUCAAAGUGAGAUUGUGUAUAGGUUAUGGGCUCACUCAGGCGUUCCCUAUUUGGCUCUCCUGUGGAGAAAACAGGACGCGAGGUGCAGCGUGAGCUGAUUACCGGAGGUUUCACGCUGACGCUCCAGUUGACGGGUGUUAGAGGCUGCGCGGCAGUCCGCCAGACACGUCCCAAGCUCUCAGUCAGAGAGCAUCAUUCUCAUCCUGUAGACCUGCGCGGUUCAGUCACAGUCAUCUGCGCUUUCCGCCCUAUAGUCGUCAUUUUACACUAUAUAGAAGUAGAGCAGCAACAGAAGACACGCACGGCUGUUAUUAAAUUCAGUAAUAAAGAAAACAAGUACAAACAUUUUUUUUAACAAAAACAAAUCUGCAUGUAAUUUAUUGCUCAAUUUCACUUUCAUAACACCAGAUUUGUAAUGCUUAUUUGACAGGUAUGAAACAGGUACUUGCUGACUUGUCGCUCAGUGCUGCCAUCAAGUGACGCAUCCAUGCAAAAUAAAUUCCUGUGUAUAUCUUUGAAAGACAGGUUUAACGUCAUCUAGACCCUGGCAAGAACAUAAAUUAAUGUAUCCUGUCUGCAAUGCUAUCUGGAUGCAAACAAAUUUCCCCCCCUCAAUAAAAGCUUUUGCUUGUCUAGUUUUUUAACUUUUAGAUGUCAUGGAGCCCCAAAUAUCAUCAUUUUCAUUCAAGGGACCCCCAUUCUGAAAUUUUAAAGGCAUUUGUAUAAAUUGUUGUAUAAAAACACAGUGUUUAUACACUGUGAAAAAUAAUAGCAUUAAUGUAUAAAAUGUUAAUUUAACUUAUUAAAUUAACUUUUUUAAGCUUUUAAACAUUUUUUUUUUCCUGUGUUCAUUAUUGUACUGAACUGUAAAAUCUAUGAAUUAAUUUUCUUUAUAAUCACAUUCAUUAAUUUACUUAAUUUAAUUAUUGUGAUAAAAAAUCAUUUAAGAAAAAACUAAUUUCUGCCCGAUCUAUUGUUCCCUCCAUAUUCAGAUCUUUAAACUGUUUUUCCAUCUCUCUGAAACAUCAAGCAUUCCUCUGACUAGGAAGGGCUCGUCUAUGAUCAGCUGUGAAGGAUGAUUUCUUAAUAUAGUGUAUGUGUGUUCGUUUGGUGCCUGCACUGACUCUCACAUUUGCUAGCUGUUAUAUCCGAGGUGUUAACACAGAGAGCUUGCUGUCUGAAGUGUUGUGGCUUGCACAACACCUCGCAAAAUUCAGGUUGACAUCUUCAUCCUAAGACUCUUUCCUAAAGGGUGUUUAUAACUGUGCCUUCGGCAGCAAAGUUAACUGCCUUUUUCUGUUUCUUUCAAGGAAGCAACAUGGACAUCUGUUCACUUGAAUUCUGGAGUUUGCUGAUGUCAGAUAUAAGGCUAUUUUGACAAACUGAAAUACACUUUGUAAAACUCCAAAACAAUGAAGACAAUGGAAUUCAGAAGGCUCCAGGGGAGAUCCACACAAUGCCUAGGACUGACGACCAAUAGAAACGGAGGCCAUUAACCUUUCUGCUAACAAAACAGAACUGAACUCACCUUCAAACAACAGAAGAUGCCUGCAUAUCUCUACUGCCACCUCUCAUUUACGUCUGGCUGAAUCACAGUGAACCGCAACACUCUAGAAGUGGCCUUUUUUGGGGAAAUUCUACAGGUUCACAUUUAAUACAAAGAAAGCAAUAUGAAGAGAACUGAACUGUUGUACUGUUGGACAUGAGCUGAUCAUCUAUGACACAACUGCCCUCAAUCAAUCUGUUUUCUGGUGUAAAUCAUGUAUUUACAGUUUAGCUGUUGUUGUGCCAGAUGUGAGAACUAUGUGGAAACUAAAUCUUUCUUGCUCUUUGACCAUAUAAAUUGUCAAACAGAUA